rnacentral:rRNA from 1 species
GAUGAACGCUGGCGGCGUGCCUAAUACAUGCAAGUCGAGCGAACAGACGAGGAGCUUGCUCCUCUGACGUUAGCGGCGGACGGGUGAGUAACACGUGGAUAACCUACCUAUAAGACUGGGAUAACUUCGGGAAACCGGAGCUAAUACCGGAUAAUAUAUUGAACCGCAUGGUUCAAUAGUGAAAGACGGUUUUGCUGUCACUUAUAGAUGGAUCCGCGCCGCAGUAGCUAGUUGGUAAGGUAACGGCUUACCAAGGCGACGAUGCGUAGCCGACCUGAGAGGGUGAUCGGCCACACUGGAACUGAGACACGGUCCAGACUCCUACGGGAGGCAGCAGUAGGGAAUCUUCCGCAAUGGGCGAAAGCCUGACGGAGCAACGCCGCGUGAGUGACGAAGGUCUUCGGAUCGUAAAACUCUGUUAUUAGGGAAGAACAAAUGUGUAAGUAACUAUGCACGUCUUGACGGUACCUAAUCAGAAAGCCACGGCUAACUACGUG